CUUCCAGGUCAUGUGACCUAGGAACUAAAAGAUGACGUUAAAACGGGGUAAGUAAUGAAAAAAACAACAACUACAGCUUGCUCCAGAGCUCCAAGGCCAACAGAGGAAACUCACCAGGAAGUAGGCAAGAAUAGGAGGCAAAAGAAAAUGACAGCAAAGAUGUCUUUCGAGGGCUCAAGACGCAGUGGUGUCAGUUUGUGUGUUGCUGUGUGCACAGAAGGGAUGCGAUGCAAGGGAUUUCCUGUGAUAUGGAGCGCUCCAGCUGCAAGUCUGAACUAAGCCAGAUGCUGCAUAAUCCCACGUGGGAUUCUGUCAGCAAUCAAAACAAACACACAACACACCAGGCCAGAUGAAUAGCACGCUGAUGGGAGCCUCAGGAGAGCAGCUUUCUGCCUCCUCUCCACACUGUGCAGGACUGCAGCUCGACUCACAUCUUACUGACUCGAUCCGUCAAAGAGCUGAGAGAAGUAAAUGACUCUUCCUCCUCUGUCUUUAAUGCUCAUAUAUUUAACUGAGUGGAGCAGAAAGUAUUAGACAUAUUUUAACAUCAAUAUUUUACCUUCCUCUCUCUCACAGCUACCUUUUAGUUUCUUGUUACUUAAUAAUGUAUAGCCGUACUUCUUUAGUGUAAAUAAAUGACUUUACAGGGUUAAAAUUUUCUUUGAGGACUGUAAGACUGAUUAAAAUCAACACCUACAUAUAUUUUGUACUCAGGACUCACUUUAAUUAUAAUCUGCAUAAAAGCUGCAGUUUAUUUUAAUUAAGCUUCAGGUAGUUCAGAGCGCUGUAACCUCGUCCUUACCGGAAAAAUUCAGUGCCUAAUUACUCACGUUUUCAUUAGAUGCCCAUUAAGCUCUGUAAUAACUUUGAAGUCUUGAAUAUGAUGUUUAAAGCUCCAAAAGGUUUAGCUCAGGCAUAUCUUAAUUUUCUUCAGAAAGCAGGAUCCUGAGGUUAUUGCAUGUCAUGACAAUUUUGGGACAAGAUACACUAUAUUGCCAAAAGUUUUGGGACAUCUGCCUUUACAUGCACAUGAAUUUAAUAUGGCGUUCACCCAGCUAUAACUGCAUCAACUAUUUUGGGAAGGCUUUCCACAAGGUUUAGGAGUGUUUUUAUGGGAAUUUUUGACCAUUCCUCUAGAUGCGCAUUUGGUCAGGCCUGAUGUUGGAUGUGAAGGUCUGGCUCACAGUGUCCACUCUAAUUCAUCCCAAAGGUGUUCUAUCGGGUUGCAGGCCAGUCAAGUUCCUCCACACCAAACUCACAAGGCAAGUUGGAACAGGAAGGGGCCAUCCCCAAACUGUUCCCACAAAGCUGGGAGUAUGAAAUUGUCCCAAAUGUCUUGGUAUGCUGAAGCAUUAACAGUUCCUUUCACUGGAACUAAGGGGCCAAGCCCAACCCCUGAAACACAACCCCUCAAUUCAACGAUUUGGAGGGGUGUCCCAAAACUUUUGGCAGGUACCUAUCAACACUAAACAUUUUCUGAUUACUUGGGAAAUAUUGCAAAGGGAAAACGCAACUACUACAGCGAAGGCUAUAUAAAUAAAUAAGUUACUCUGACAAAAGCAGGCAGGCUCGAUAUCCACAACACGUCUCGUGAUAGCGGUUACUUUGAUUAAUAUAUUACUGCACUAAAUAUACUGCCUAGGACAAAUGAUUACGAUGUGAUGCUGCAGGUUGGAUUUUCUCAUUCAAUCUCAUGCUGAUGCUGAACUUUCCAUGACCAAAUAAAUAUUGUUAAUAGGGAUCUGGUAGCUUAAAGGUGCUGGGCUACUGAUCAGAGGGUUGUGAGUCUGAAUCCCAGGUCCACCAAGCUGGUCCCUUGAGCAAGGCCCUUAACCCUCAAUCGCUCAGUUGUAUAAAAUGAGAUGAAACCUAAGUUGCUCUGGGUGGAUAAGGGCAUCUGAUAAAAUGCCGGAAAUGUAAAAGUUUAUUUAUAAAAAUCAUAUAAAUGUUGCAUUUAAAUGAAAGUGGCUCAAAUUAUGUUUGCAAUAAUGCGAUUCACUUUGUAGAAAUCAGCUUUUGAGUAGUUAUAAGUAACACAGUUGCUCAGUUUAAACACCAAAUGUCCCAACCUGUGCAAAUAAACAGUAUAAAGAGCACGAUGGUAGCAUGUUCCCUCAUGGAGAGCAUGCACCGUUACUGAGAAUCAUGAGCACAGUGACUGAUGGGUCCGGAACACAACGACUGACCUCUGUUACAGGUUACAUGGUUACACAAUGACGUUUUAACAGUUACAAAGAGUUACAGGUACAAUAACACUGCAAUCUACAGUGCCUGAGAAAAAAAGGGGAUUUUAGCAAACUUUGGAACUCUAUUUCCAGUUAAAAUGAUGCCUUUGUUUAUUUUUUAAAAUUUUAGAGAGAAUUUAUUUAUUUAAUUUUUGAUAGAUAGAAGAUAUGAUGAAUCUGUGGUAUAUUUUAUUGACCAUAUUAUUCUUAAUAUUAAUUAACCAUUAUUAACAUUUUGUUCAAAAUAUUUUGAGAGUCAGUUUGAUAUGAAUCGUGUCUCAGUAAUGUGAAUCGAAGUGAACCGUGGCUGGAGUGUAUCGUUACACUUCUAUUAUUUAAUAAUAGCGAGGAGUCUGAUCCCAAAAAAAUACUGCUAAUCUUCAUCAUCUCUCGCACAUUUGCAACAGAUUCCUCCAUGGCAUCAUGGUUCCCAUGGCGACAAGGGCAAAGCGCUGAUGUUGGCAUUUGUUUUUGUUUUGUCAUUGGCAUGUUACCUGACUGUGUGCACCUGUGCUGUAUUAAAUCUUGAUAAUGUUUUAGUCUGUGAAACAUAU